UACGAAGGGGGCUAGCGUUGUUCGGAUUUACUGGGCGUAAAGCGCACGUAGGCGGAUCGUUAAGUCAGGGGUGAAAUCCUGGAGCUCAACUCCAGAACUGCCUUUGAUACUGGCGAUCUUGAGUCCGGAAGAGGUGAGUGGAACUCCUAGUGUAGAGGUGGAAUUCGUAGAUAUUAGGAAGAACACCAGUGGCGAAGGCGGCUCACUGGUCCGGUACUGACGCUGGAGGUGCGAAAGCGGUGGGGG
rnacentral:rRNA from 1 species